GGCUUGUGCUUUUUGACCCCUAUCCCUCGCAAUAAUUAAGUCAUUUUCUCUCCUUCUCACUCUGCUCUCUCAACCCGACCUGGAACCCGCGACUUGUGCUUUUUGACCUCUAUCCCUCACAAUUAUCCUUCUCAUCAGCUCUCUCAGAUCUCGAUUCUCACUCUCUCGAUUCUUCUUCUUAACCUCUCCUUCUUCUUCUUGGUCUCUAUUUCAUCUUUCGCGUCCGGAUUAUGGAGCUCUCCAGCAACCAGUAGAGCACUCUAGAAAAAUUAGGCUUCUUCGCUAUUUAGGUUCUUCCAUUUGUGGGCUUCUCGAUUUGGGGAUUUCACGGGUACUCAAUUAGCCACUUCGACAAUCCAAUCUUGCUUAGAUUCAUUCAGUUUACUUUGACAUCCAUAGCUGGUGAGUUAAAUUCGAGAUUUUAGAUUAGGGUUUUGAUUAUUUGGCAAAAUUUAAGAAAUCUGGUGUUUUCGUUUGUGUUUAAUCUGAGAGUGGACAUUGGGGCUUGCUAAAUCAAAUCAAAAUUAUUCUGUCAUGGUCUCAGAGGAUGGAACUGCUCCGGCUACUACACGAAUGGGAGGCGUUCUAGAGGCAAUCCAGAUUCAAGAGAAUUUUUGUGUUUAGUGGGAGCAGUCUGGUUAUAGAAGAACAUUUAAUAUUUUUGUACAUAGGGAGAGGGAAUUUCAGUAGCAAGAUGAUCGAUUUAGCUAUGAAGACCACCUCAAACUCUUCGUCGACAACUCUAGAUCGAUCAAGACCAAGCUUACAGUUCAGUAAUCAAUGGUGUUUCUAUUCAUGUUAUUAGUUAACUGAUAAAGAUAAAGCCUUUAACCCUCUUAAUAUGUUCUUUAAUUUUCUAGGAUUAUUCAUAUGAUAUGAAGUAGAGUAUUCACAAUUGUGUUGGGCUUUGAUUUUUGAGUGUGCUUUUGUUUUCAAUGGGAUUUCCUAUUGGUGGUGGCAUCAAAAUGAUUUUGUUUUUGGUUUUUGUUUUACUGAAAUUGGGAGGUUGCUGUUAGCCUAAUCGCCAAAUUCAAAACCACCGGAAGUAGAUCUUGGUAAGGAGAAAUGUCUUUAAUAAUCUGCCAUCUUCAACCCAACUCAACUCAGGCAGUUUCUUUGUCCAUCUUCAGUAGAUCUUGGUAAGGAGAAAUUUCUUGGUAAGGCAUUUUCUUUCUCCAUCUUCAGCAGAUCUUGGUAAGGAGAAAUUUCUUGCUAAGGCAUUUUCUUGAUCUGCUGAAGGAGAAAUUUCUUGUUGAGGCACUUUCUUUCUCCAUCUUCAGCAGAUCUUGGUAAGGCAUUUUCUUUCUCCAUCUUCAGCAUUUCCAUCAACAACCCAACUUAGGCAUCCUCUUCCUCCUCCUCCUUCUACAUUAGGUAAAGGUCAUUUUUCAUGUUUGCUUUGCUAAGUUCUUUGUUUUGAUUUCUAGGAAUUUGCUAGAAAAUUUUUUGACAUUGGAAUUUAGCAAUAGGUGGUUAACCAUAUAUAGCCAAUAAGUGGAUGCGUUGAGAGUGUGGUUUUGAUAUGGGUUUCAAAGUUUUUGACCGUUUGUGUUUGAAUGCCACUCCUUGAAAUUGGUAUCAUGUGUUCACUUACUAGUAAGCAUAAUAUUUUGAGCACUUUCAGUACUAGUAGAAUUGUGUUUUCUUGUGUCUUGUGUUUGAGUAAUAAAGUCUAGAAUGAGAUGAGAUGAGAAUGUCUUGAGAGUGUAAGUAACAAGGUUUUAGAUAGUCUGAUGUUGUAGGACAUAAUGAAAGAGAUGUAAAUAAGGAUAUAGUCAGUGACUGAUUUACACCAUCCCCUAAAAGAUAUUAAUUGUGUACAAAAAAUAUAUGAAUAAGGGAUAGUUUACUCCCAUUUUCUCCAUUUUCGGUACCCUAAUUUGCAGUCUUGAUGCUUCAUGAGCAAGCAGCUCCUGUAGUUACUUAAAGAAUGCUAGCUACAUAUACUUUGACUCCAACUACUUGAAGUUUGACAAGUUCGAUGAUCUUUGCCCGGUUGCACUUGUUAAAGAGUUAACUGAGAGAGGUGGUUACAUGGACCCUUGAAGCUAUGUGACGCACCAGGAAUAAGAGGUGCCUACGGGUGUAUGUCAAUAAGGAUAUAGGCAUUGAACAAGGGGACAUCUACAAUCAUUUUGUAAGUGAUGCAACUGGCCGGAGGAGCAACUCUAUGCAAACAGAGAUAGGUACUCCAGCUGAUCCCUUCCCAGCAAGGUUUGUUUACUUAUUUCUUUUAAAAUAAUGCACAUAUAUAAGAGAUCAUCAAGAUUGGGAAUCAAGAAGGGGGGAUUUGCAACAUAUUUGGGAUCGGUAAGGUGAGUAUUACAUAUUUCCUUAUAGCUUCCUCUCUUUAUUGGUUUUUUUUUUUUUUUUGGCUUUUCUGCAGUAGGUGUCUCUUGAUUUAUUUACCUUAACUCUUGUCUUAUAAGUUUUUUAAGCAUUCUCUCUCGUUAGGUGGGACUAGUUGUAGCAUUGCAAUGUGGUCAUUAAAUUUUUUUUUUUUUUUUUGAGUGCAAGGUUUAGAGUUGGUUAGGGUUUUCUGAAACAAGAAUUAUUACUUAUGAUAUGAUGAAUUUUGUUGACCAUUCAGAGUUUGAGUUUUUGCAUCGUAACACAGGGAAUAGAAGUUUUGUUUGAUGUUAGAAAGGGUUAGAGUUGGUUAGUGAAACAAGAUUUAGUAUCAAUGUAAAAACAGUAAGAUGAAUGAGCAGCCUUUUAGUUUUAACUUGUAAUGCAGUAGAUAAAGCUUUUGUUUGCUGUUAGAAAUGAAUUAUAUGGUUAACCAAAAUUGUAUUGUUUAUAAUGAAUUUAACUAGUACUGGAUGCAUCUAUAAAUGGUAUUUUCUGUAUCAGAAUUUUUACCACUGACUGUGUUUGUCCUUCAGGCUUGUAACUUUAUUAUUAUUUAAUUACCAGGGAUUUAUUUUGGUUGUUUUCAGGGGUCGGAAUUCAUGGUGUCCUACUUUUCAUAACAUUGAUUGGAAAGAUGUUUGUGAACCUUGGUUCAGCGGGGAGUGGUCUAGCUUUAUGCAGAGAAGGUCCUCUCGAUAAUUGUCCUUUAAUGAUAAUUAUUCUUUGUUUCCAGAGAACGGGGGAAGGAGGAGGAGGAGGAGGAGGAGGAGGAGGAGGAGGAUCCGACCAACAGCAGAGAGUUUCUCCACUGUUUGAGAUUUGCAAUCGACAUCAAUCCGGACAAAGAUUGGGUGAAGGAAUGCAUGUCAGCCUUGCUGCGUUUUGCGAAGAGGCCUCAUUUGAGCGAGCAAAAAAAUGGGUGCUAGAACUGAAAUCACAAGGGCUGUAAGACAUCUCUUUGUGCUGGCUUGUUGUAAGAAAAUGGAUCCUUAUUUACUGGCUAUCAUUUUCAUGGAUGCCCACAAUAGCAAAGACAAAUUUAAUCAUGCUUUGGGUUAUGCAUAUAUACUCACGCACCCCGGAAUACCUUCCGUCUUCGAUGACCACUUCUAUGAUUCGGGUGAUUCCAUUCAUGAUCAGAUUGUGAAACUGGUACAGCAGUAUGGCUAGCUAGUUCUUUUAUUAACUUGUGUCUAGUAGAAAUUCUUCCUUCUUUAAGCAUUUGGACUUGUCUGCAUGUCCAGAUUAGUAGAUAUGGGUCAUUUUGAAUUGAUAUUCAUGAUUAGGUUUGUGUACAUGAGACAAUGGUGGAUUAAUGGAAAUUGUAAUGACUGAUUUUGGAUGUA